rnacentral:lncRNA from 1 species
GUGAAAAUUUUCUUAUAAUAAAUAUUUUAUAAUAUUUUAAAACUAAAUAUAAAAAGUGCAAGCAAAAUAUUUUAUUACUUAUCUCUGCAAAAAUAUAUUUGUAAAUAAAGGUAAUAUUGUAAACUUAUGCUAUCAAGAGAAUUAUUAAUUAUUAUAAAACAAUAAGGGCAAAUAAUAUAUAUUGAUUACACUAAGGGAGGAAAUUGGGAAACUCCCAUAAAAUAAAUAUUGAGCUGCGGUAUGUAUAGUACAACUCCUAUCAUUGUCCAAAUCCAGAUUCUAUAAAAUCCAAACGUUAAAAAAAAAGUUCUCCAAAAGUCGGAAAUGCCUUGCAAAAUUUGUUAAAAAAAGUAGUUGGACCCGGCUAAUGGACUGUUUAAAUACACUUAUAAUCCCUUUUUUUUUUAAUUCGUCCGUGAAAACCACAACAAAAGUAAUUUUCUUUUUUUUAUUGUCCAUUCAUUAUUCAAUCCGCCAAUCGUUUUUUUUUAAUCCAUCUAUGAAAAUCACAAACAAGUGUAAAUUUUUUAUUGUACAUUUAUUAUUUAAUUCCAUUUUUCUACAAAAAAAAAAUUAGUAAGCACAUUUGUUCAAAUUUGUGGCAUGCACAUCAAGUCGAGCUCGAAUCUAAAACUUGAGUCUUAGAAAGGCUUCCCUUAUAAUUGGAGCUAAGUAUUACGGUCCGCCCAAUUCGCUAGCUCUAUUGCCCACAAUUUCAGGCUAGAGAGUCAACACAAGGCCAAGAGUGCUAGCUUGGCCCAAUUCCAGAAAAUUCUAGGCAACUCUAGCACAUGUGAGCUUGUAAAUACUCUAGAAUUCUCUAUACAAUUCCAGCACAUGUAAAUAGCUAGGAAAUUGUAGAAUUCUCUAGAAUCUCUAGAGCUUGGCAAGCCUCCCCUAUAAAUAUGGGAUGACAUUAGGCAUUUGCAUCCAACAAACACAACAACAAGCUUUGUAAGCAACUCAAGCAUUGUAAUCUCUCUUUGUGUAAUAUAAGUUUUCUCAUUCGACUCCAUUGCUUUCUUCUCUAGUUCGAGAAGCUCUAGGCUUACUUAGCAACAUUCGGCAAAGUUGUCUAAGUGCCGCACGGGUUAGCUGCGCAAAAUACUCAUCCUGUGACAAGUGGUAUCAGAGCUAAGGUUUGCACGCACGCAAGUUAGCUCACGAAGCAAUGGCCAACCCUUCGAACGUAGCACAAGAGGGUGUUGUUGGUGUGGAUGUUCCACCGGAACCAAGCCGCGGCCGAGAGGGAGAACGCGCCCAAGGCAAGACUCGCAGCAAGUCCAAGGCCCCAUCCGUGGAUGCGUUGGAGCCUCGUGUGGCUAUUCUCGAAAUCGCAUUGUCCGCCGCUCAAGAUAGCCUCGAGGGACUGGAGGAAAGAGUGGAUGGUCUCGAGGGGGAAUACGCCGAGUUCACGGUGGCAACAAAGGCUCUCAUCCAAGAGCAAGCGAAUACUCUUCGAGGUGAGUUUCGUGCUUUUCAUGAUGAGUUGCUCAAACUUCGUAGUUUUGUUCAGGACGAACUACGCGCUGUCCGUGCAGAAGUAGAUGAAGUCCGCUCGGAUUGGGCAUGGCACAAGCGCACACUCUCUAUAAGUCCAAUUUCCGCAAACUCGAGUGAUGCGCGCCGCAUUGACGUGCCAAAGCCCGACACUUACGAUGGCACACGCAACGCCACAGUCGUGGACAAUUUCCUCUUUGGGCUUGAUCAAUACUUCGAUGCCAUGGGUGUACGAGACGAGGCAUCGAAAGUGGGCAUUGCACCCACCUACCUUAGAGGCACUGCACAACUAUGGUGGCGUCGCAAGCAUGGCGAGAUGGGCAAGGGCAUUUGCACCAUCGACACUUGGGCCGACUUCAAGCAAGAACUCCGAAAGCAGUUCGCCCCAAGCAAUGCGGAAAAGGAAGCGCGAGCGCGCUUACAUCGCCUCAAGCAAUCGGGUAGCAUUCGGGACUACAUCAAUGAGUUCACUAUCCUUAUGUUGGAGAUAAGCGACAUGUCCGACAAGGAUUCACUUUUCUACUUCCAAGAUGGCCUCAAGGAUUGGGCCAAGACCGAGCUUGAUAGGCGUGGUGUUCAAACACUUGACGACGCCAUCGCCAUUGCGGAGUCGCUCACCGAAUACUCCGCCCAGGUCAAGGACAAGAGGUCUAGCUACGACCAAAGUGGGGGAGAGAGUCAUGAGGACAACAACCGCAAUUGCAAGGAAUGGAGCAAGAAAAAGCCUCCAAGCGGCAAGGACGGGCAAAGUAAGUCCGAGAAGCCACCCAAGCCUCGAAGCCCAUGCUUCAUUUGCAAUGGCUCUCAAUGGGUGCGCGACUGCUCGGAGAAAAAGUCGUUGAAUGCCCUCGUGGCACAACUUAAGGGCCAACGCACACCGACUGCGGAGGAACCUCAACACAACUUGGGUUCGCUCCAACGCCUUAGCACACUCGUGAGCCAACCGCCAGAACCUACAAGGAAAGGGCUCAUGUUCGUAAGUGUGCUCAUCAAUGGCCGAACCGUUCGUGCGCUCCUUGACACCGGAGCAACGCACAACUUCAUCUCCAAAACUAGGCCUCAAGGUAAUGCAGCACGGAGGCACCAUCAAGGCUGUAAAUUCGCCUGCCAAGCCAUUUGCGGGAAUCACACGAGGCGUGCACGUUACGCUUGGGACAUGGAAUGGGAAGCUCGACUUCUCGAUUGUGCCGAUGGAUGACUUCACAAUGAUCCUUGGCAUGGAAUUCUUCGACAAGGUACAUGCCUUCCCACUUCCAGCAACAAACUCCCUUAGCAUCUUCGAUGGGAGUAAGGCAUGCGUGGUACCGGUCGAGCGCGCACAACCCGCAGAAAAGGCGCUCUCGGUCAUGCAGUGCAGACGAGGAUUCAAGAAGAAUCCGGACCACUUGGUCUCCAUCCGACAACACCGUAAGGGAGAGGAUUCCGAAAGCCCUCCAAGCCAAGUCCCACAACAAGUACGAGCCGUCAAUGACAAAGGCAAGGACGCUAUGCCUCCGAAGCUCCCACCGAGAUGAGUGGCUGAGCAACGCACAAAGCCAGAGCAUAAGGGGUUGCGGAAACACAAGAGGGGACGCCGCAACACCAACCGAAAGAAGGAAACAACCACAUGCGGAGCAAGUGGCGGAACCUCCCCAAGAGUGAAGCACACGAAGACUAACGACAAAUCACGGAACAAGUCCCCCAAGGAGCAAGGACGAGAUCGCGACGAGGACGCCGCGAGCUUAGGUGGGGGAGGAUGUUACGGUCCGCCCAAUUCGCUAGCCCAAUUGCCCAUAAUUUCGGGCUAGAGAGCCAACACAAGGCCAAGAGUGCUAGCUUGGCCCAAUUCCGGAACAUUCUAGGCAACUCUAGCACAUGAGCUUGUAAAUACUCUAGAAUUCUCCAUAGAAUUCCAGCACAUGUAAAUAGCUAGGAAAUGGUAGAAUUCUCUAGAAUCUCUAGAACUUGGCAAGCCUCCCCUAUAAAUAUGGGAUGGCAUUAGGCAUUUGUAUCCAACAAACACUACAACAAGCAUUGUAAUCUCUCUUUGUGCAAUACAAGUUUCUUCUUUGGCUCAAUUGCUCUCUUCUCUAUUCCGAGAAGCUCUAGGCUUACUUAGCAACAUUCGGCAAAGUUGUCUAAGUGCCGCACGGGUUAGCUGCGCAAAACACUCAUCCCGUGACACUACGCUCUGUAUACAUUAGCAUGGGAUAACAUCAUA